GGGUCUUUUGACAUGCUGUUCCAUACCAUGGUGACCAUGCUGCAGCAUGUCACAAAGGGCCCCUGCACACACUGCCCCCUGCGCUAUGGCCGCCUCCAGCCCACCCAAGAUGGCCAGGUUAGAAGGAAUCCCUCACCCCAAGUGUCCAAGACAGGCUGACAGAGUCUUUAGGAACGGCUCAAACCAUCAGCAAACGCUGCCCUGCUCUGCGGGCUCAGGGCAGCAGGAGCCCCCGCAGCUGGGAAGUGCACAGGGCCUUCCACAGAAGCUGGCACUGCCUCCUUGAGACAUGUCCCAGCUGGUGGCCAUCCUAAACCCGCAGGUGUGGCACGCACAAGGAAUGUGUGGGUCAGGGCACGAAUGCUGCUCUGACCCCUGGGGCCCGGGGAGCGCUGACACCAGCAGGAGAAUCAGGACCAUGAAGAGGAAAAAUCACAAAUAUUCUUUCUGCCCUCCGUAACCAAAGCUGUGCCAAACCAGAGAUGCUGCCUUCAAACUGACUCAAAUUCCAACCUAAACCGCUCACCUUCCAGACAACUCCUUCCCCAACACCCCACCAACACCAACACCCCCAAACUCCGGCACAGAAGCCCUCAACACCCCGUCAGGGGCCCCAGCUGCCCCCGUCCCUCUGCAGAGCUUUCCCACCCUCCAGCAGAUGCCCGGGUUCCCUGCACGUGCCAUGGGAUGGCACUCAGGAGGAUCUGCUCCGAGGCCUUCCCCUGGAGCGAGCUCAGGCUGCCAGGCCUACGGGUCCUGGAUCAUCCUUCCCACCGAGCCUUCCUGUGCACGGCUGUUCCAUCUGCACCUUUGGGCUCAGCUCGGACUUCUCCACCUAACCAGGAGUGUUGCAGCGCGCGUGUGCGGGGCGUGCUGGACGGCUGUGGCACAGGCGUGACUGUCCCCCUGCGAGCUCUGCAAUUCCCAGUUAUCGGCAGGUCUGGCGCAGGGACAGACAGCGAUGACACGGGUCUGGGUGUAGAACAAGAUGGAUUUAUUCCUGGGCUCCCCAGCAAGACUGGGGGGCGGGGGUGAACAGAAGUUUUUAUACAGCAACUCAGGAGGCGGGUGUAGGAAAGUGAACCAGUGAGGAUAUGGUAAGGGAGGAAUAUAAGGUGGGGCAAAGAGCUUAUGAGCCUAUCAGGGAAAACAGGGGAGGGGAAUAAUACAAAGUAAGGAGUGGGGUAUCGAGGGCAGCAAGACAGACACUGAACUCUCCGGAGAAAGGGGUAGGGAUAAGGAGGAUUGACAACUUGGAAGGGAGGAGCUUAGGGAAGGACUUGGGAAAAUUGGCAACUGGGAAAGGGAGUGGAUUAGGCAGGAGAACAGGGGGCAAACAUGGAUUCAAAGCAAAACACACCACAAUAUCUCCCUGUGUCUUUUUACAAAAGGGAGGAGAGUUCUGGGGUUCAAAACAAAUUAAUGAAUCUAUUAUAUAACAUAUCAUAUACAUAAUCUAUCAUAUAACAGAUUUUACCAUAUGACAAAUUAUUACAGCAACAGAAAAGAAUUCAAAAAUUAUCAGGAAAAAAUGAACUACUCAUGACCAUAACGCAUGGGGUAAGGAUCUUCUUCACAUAAGAAACUUAAUAUAAAAUGUACAAAGUUAUUAUAUACGGAAUCAGGGUCCGGAGGAGGAAUUGCAGUGGAAUUAUCUUGAAGUAAGACUGGGCUUGAAGCAUGAAUCACCGAGGAAUCUGCAGGUUCUGGCUUUCUGGGGUUUGAAAGUGAUUUUGGAGGUCACUCCUCCUGUAGGAUGUGAUCAGCAAAUGGAGAUGUGGUCUUGCUCAUUUUAUUUUAUGCUACUGUGGGUAUUAACUGGACAGAAUGAUUCCUCUCUCUAUAAUAUAUAACUUAACAAGCAGAUUAUUUUAAAGUAUCAAGAAUAUAAUGAACAAUUUUUUAGUCAAGAAAUUUAGUUGGGAAUGUGGGAAAAUGGUUAAACAAAAAUCAACAAAGAUCAUGAAGUUUAAAGAAGGUCUAAAGGUAAAUUAAUGAACUCUUUUUCCAAAGCGUACUGUGAAAACUUUAAAACAAUAUUGAAAUUAAAAGGAACAUUUGGUAGGGCAUAAUUAAGGAAAUGGAUGGGCAACUUGGGCAGUCACUCUUGAAUAAUUUUAUUCUUAUAUUAAUUCAAUUGUUUAUUUUUAUUUUCAUUAUGAAGAUGGUAGGUUGUUUUUUUUUUACUUUGGACAGUUUUUUCUUAUGUGAUCUUUCUUUUUACAGGUGAAACAAAUUUUUGACUUUGAUGGGCAAACACUUGCCUCAUGUCUCUUUUUUCUAUAUUUAAAACAUGUUUUAAAUUGUUCUUUUUGGUUCUGUUUUUAAUUUAUCUCAACUGUGGAAGCUUGUAGGUUAAUGAUCUUCAACAGUUUCCACAAAGGCUUCGAAGGGUCAAGGGCUUUGGGGAGAUUCUUCCAAAAAUUAAAUGCAAAUUUAAUUCAUAAUUGAUUCAGUUCAUAAGAAGAAAUAUGAUUACUUUGGCGACUGCCACAAGUGUUAUGGGGUGUCGAUAAGGGGACGAACCUGGGCGCCGCCAUCCUAGGGAGAGACAAAAUGGAGGAUUCCAGGUCUGGGUUUCCAGCUCCACCUUCCUCCGAAGGAGGUCUCUCCAUAAAAGAGGGUGAUCUCCCAAGAAGGAGGGUCCCCUGACGGGAGGCCCCAUAGGCGAUCCUCCCCCCAGAGGAGGAGCCGGAAUAAGGAAUGGGGGAUGGUCCAACCCCACCUUCCAACAAAGGGCACUGGCCCCCACACGCGAUUCGUGCAGGGGCCUCUGCGGAAGGGGUGGGGCUGGCGGGAAACUUGGGGCCGGAGAAGAAGGGUCCAGGCAGGAAAGGGUGUUCCAAGCGGUGUGGCCAUCACCACCUUGGAAAGGAGUGCCGAGUGCACUGCAGUUCCCUCAAGAGGUCUGAACAGUGUCCAGCGGGGUGCUUGGGGUGCUGUGGCCAACACCAUCCCCAAGGGAGGAUAGGGUAGGGUUUUGGGAAGUCUGAGGGACAGAGGGUACAGGGAGCUUCACAGAAGCCACAGGGGAACUUACAGGGGAGGAGCCCAACGCAGCUAAAUUUCAACGAGGUGCAUGGGUGUCAGGGGCUUCUUGCAUAAUAUUAGAUUCUCCCCUAUUCUUAUAAACGUGCCAUCAUUUGAUGGAAAAUUUCUGCCCUAUUCUUGUCUUUUCUACUCUCUCAGCCCUCAUGGGAUACCCCAGCCUUUGGGGGAGAGCCCAGCUUUGGGUAAGAGAGAGACUAGAAAAGCACCUCCUGAUAAGUGGAGACUACCCUCAGGGGAUGCCCCAACCUUUUGGGGAAGAGUGAGGAUCCAAGGGAGUGAUGGUGAAGAUCCCCUUGGAUCAGGAGGGUACCCUGUGGUCUCCGCAAGCUUGGCCACCAGCUUGUGGAGACUAAACCCACCCGCCAGGAAAAUACCCUGCUUCGGCUCACUUACCCUCAGAGCUGUCCUUUGCUUUUAGUUAGUUUUAGCUAGCUGAGGCAAAGAAGUUCCCUGGACUGUGGCUUUUUCUUUUCUUCAGACCUGCUCAAACCUGCUCUGGACUGAGCACCCAGAAGAGCACUGGCAGCUCACACCUGUGGCCCACCAGGCCCGGCCUGGGCCGCAGCAUUUCCAGUGCCGGAGGGACCGAUAAGAGACUGAGUGAGCCGAACUGCAGCCCGGGGAGGGGACUUUCUGAGUUUAUCUCUCUUUUGGAGCAGCAAGAAGUUUUAUUGUUUAAUAUUCUUUAGGUUUUCUUGCUUAAUAAAGAGUUUUUUCCAUUUUCCA